UACGGAGGGUGCAAGCGUUAUCCGGAUUCACUGGGUUUAAAGGGUGCGUAGGUGGGUUGGUAAGUCAGUGGUGAAAUCCCCCGAGCUUAACUUGGGAACUGCCAUUGAUACUAUCAGUCUUGAAUACCGUGGAGGUUAGCGGAAUAUGUCAUGUAGCGGUGAAAUGCUUAGAUAUGACAUAGAACACCAAUUGCGAAGGCAGCUGGCUACACGAAUAUUGACACUGAGGCACGAAAGCGUGGGGAUCAAACAGGA
rnacentral:rRNA from 1 species